rnacentral:lncRNA from 1 species
AUGUGAAAACAAUCAACAAUCAUUAUUACUUGAUUUAAUUUCAUUUGAAGGCCAUUCGUUUGCCAAAUCUUUAAAACCCUUCAUAUCAUUAUUGUUUUCUUUAUUUAAUUUCUAUGUUUCUCUAGAAGCCAGCGACCAGUCAUCGCACAACCACCAUCAAAUGCUGCACACUGUUGAUUCUCCGCCAAGUCGGCUCUGGUGGAUAGAACGAACGACGAAACGAGACCUGCCGAGAUGCGUGACAACGGCAUCCUACAAUUUUGGAUCACCAGGUUCAACUUACCCUUUUCAUCAUAAUCGAUAGUGGCUGCGUUAAUUAAUUCUAGGGUUCUGGCGAAGCCUCGGUCAUAGCCGCCUCCGUCGUCGGAACUAAUAGUUUCCUUCAUGAGGUUUUUUUUUUUACUUUUUAUCGUUUUUAUUUUGACUUGAGAUGUUGAAGAAGAGGAGUGCAAUGAAUGAUCCCUUGAAAACAAACAUGUUUAGUUCAUGUGGGAUUGGAAUUGCAUUCUUUCAUAUGAUCCUUAAUCUUCCGCUCGCAAUUGCAAAUACGCUUACCGCCCGAAUUCCCUAAAUUGAUGAGAAAUGGGUGCUUCUCGGUUUCUGUAUAUACGCAGCUACACUGUAUCUGCAUUUUGCCACAUCAGUCAUUAUUCAUGAAAUAACAUCUCUUGGAAUCUACUGUUUUAGGGAUAAGAAUCGCAAAGAAAAAGGCCUGAGACAUGUUCAUGUUUGAUAUGAAGGUAUGCUUUUUUUUCAGAUCAAAAUGUUCAAUUUCUUCGCCCUACUUUUACCAAAUAAAUAUUGGGUUCAUUUUAUAUUUUCAGGUUACUACCAGCUCACAAAUUGGAAUUGGAUAUAUCUAAUAUACCCGAGUUUUGUGACCGGUUUCGUAUUUGUUGUUACAGAUUCGGCUGAUCGGAAUCAAGGGUUUCAAAUAAAGUGGUGGAACUUGCAUUAGUUAAUAGACCACAGGUGAAUAGAGAUAUUGCUGGUUCUUUUAUUUUACUUCACCCUAGAGAAUUUGCAUUUGUUCACACUUGAAACAAUGCGGGUUUCAAUCAGAGUCAAAGUGGGAUUCAAGGAAACUUUGGGGGUGGUUUUUUGAGUCUUCGACUUGGAGGUAGUGAAGAAUCGGUAUCUACUUCACCUUGCGUCAUGGAUUUAUAGCGGAUUGAAUCAAGGUGAUACUGCUCUUCCAUUAAAGGGUUGGCCCUUGAGUGGAAUGGACGAUUUACACCCUAAUAUGGGUUUGCAAGUACAAAAGCUCAAUAUGCAGAAUCAACAUCAGUUCUAUUUGCCUUGAAACAUGCCCAGGCCCAAGGUAAUAUUGUAACUUCACCAAAUUAUGGGCUUGUUGGAUUAUCUAGAGGCAGUCUAAGUAUGAAAGAUGGUCAAACCACAAGAAAUGAUGGAUCCCCUGGUCAAAUGAAUUCACCCCAGGUUUUGUAUUAACUAUGAACUUAAUAACAAGCAUUAAAUAGUGUGAUUAUAUAAACCAUUAAAAGUACUUUAACGAACCACUAGCCCGCCGUAACUUAGAAAUUACACUACAUCAGUUUAUGAGCAGCAUCUGGUUAUGAGCCCGUAAAAUAUCACAGUCAAUGGCCCUUCAAACGAGUAUUUGGAAUUCAGGAGCCUGCUUUUGUCGCGUUUUCUGCACUUAACCUUGCAAUGCAUU